rnacentral:tRNA from 1 species
GGGCGGUUAGUUCAGUUGGUUUAGAACGCCUGCCUUACAAGCAGGAGGUCGCUGGUUCGAAUCCAGUGCCGCCCACGA